GACUUCCUCAACUUCAAAAUUUCAGACUGCUAUCUCAGCUUUGGACAACAGAUUAAACGAAGAACAAGAAUAUGGUAAUACUGAUGUUGAAGGCGUUGACUCAACAAAUGCAUGCUAUGGUGGAACAGCUGCCUUGUUUAAUUGUGUUAACUGGGUAGAAAGUAGCUAAUGGGAUGGACGCUACGGAUUGGAUGUCUAGAGCAAAAGCUUUUAGUAAUUGCUGUGGUUGUUGUUGUUGCUGCUGCUGCAAGUGUGCAGUUUGGGCAUCUAAUUUUACCAUAGGAACUACAAGUAUAGACCAUGUAAAUAUUUCAUAAUUGUGCCUUUGUUUAAUCCUGAAAGGAAAGUGUUGUGUGAUCCAA